UACAGAGGGUGCAAACGUUGUUCGGAAUUACUGGGCGUAAAGCGCGUGUAGGCCGCCCUGCAAGUCGGAUGUGAAAGCCCUGGGCUCAACCUAGGAAGUGCAUUCGAAACUGCGGGGCUGGAGUCCUGGAGAGGAAGGCGGAAUUCUCGGUGUAGAGGUGAAAUUCGUAGAUAUCGAGAGGAACACCGGUGGCGAAGGCGGCCUUCUGGACAGUGACUGACGCUGAGACGCGAAAGCGUGGGGAGCAGACAGG
rnacentral:rRNA from 1 species